AUUGAACGCUGGCGGCAUGCUUUACACAUGCAAGUCGAACGGCAGCAUGAUCUAGUUUGCUAGAUUGAUGGCGAGUGGCGAACGGGUGAGUAAUAAAUCGGAACGUGCUCUGUAGUGGGGGAUAACUAGAAGAAAGAUUAGCUAAUACCGCAUACGACCUGCGGGUGGGAGUGGGGGACCGACAGGCCUCAUGCUAUAGGAGCGGCCGAUGUCUGAUUAGCUAGUGGGUGGGGUAAAGGUACACAAAGGCGACGAUCAGUAGCUGGUCUGAGAGGACGAUCAGCCACACUGGGACUGAGACACGGCCCAGACUCCUACGGGAGGCAGCAGUGGGGAAUUUUGGACAAUAGGCGAAAGCCUUAUCCAGCAAGGCCGCGUGUGUGAAGAAGGCCUUCGGGUUGUAAAGCACGUUUGUCCGGAAAGAAAUGGCUCUGGUUAAUACCUAGGGUCGAUGACGGUACCGGAAGAAUAAGGACCGGCUAACUACGUG
rnacentral:rRNA from 1 species